CGGGUGAGUAACGCGUGAGGAACCUGCCUCAAAGAGGGGGACAACAGUUGGAAACGACUGCUAAUACCGCAUAAGCCCACGGCUCGGCAUCGAGCAGAGGGAAAAGGAGCAAUCCGCUUUGAGAUGGCCUCGCGUCUGAUUAGCUGGUUGGUGAGGUAACGGCCCACCAAGGCGACGAUCGGUAGCCGGACUGAGAGGUUGAACGGCCACAUUGGGACUGAGACACGGCCCAG
rnacentral:rRNA from 1 species